UACGUAGGCAGCAAGCGUUGUUCGGAGUUACUGGGCGUAAAGGGUGUGUAGGCGGUUGGAUAAGUGUGGUGUGAAAUCUCCCCGGCUUAACUGGGAGGGUGCGCUACAAACUGUCUGACUAGAGUGUGGGAUGGGAAAGUGGAAUUCCUGGUGUAGCGGUGAAAUGCGUAGAUAUCAGGAGGAACACCGGUGGUGUAGACGGCUUUCUGGACCAUAACUGACGCUGAAACACGAAAGCGUGGGUAGCAAACAGG
rnacentral:rRNA from 1 species